rnacentral:lncRNA from 1 species
AAAGCUUGAAAAUUUUGAACAGCCAAAAUUCAGUCAUUUCGGCCGUUGAAAAUGUUUUUGAUCGCCCAACUGCCACUGCUUAAGUUGGCAGCACAAUGAUCGGCCCUAAAGUCUUUCUCAAAUCCUAGAAAAUCUGGGAUUUGAACUCAGUGAGCUCUUUAAAUUAAGCCGGAAAUCACAGAACCGGGAAAGAGAACAGAAGACAGAGACGACAGAAGAGGAACACUGAAAAACUCAAACACAAAUUCUAAUUUUUUGAAAGCCAAAGCCCUCUGCAAACCCAUCGCCCAAAAUACAGAACAAAAGACCUUAGCAAAAAAGAAAUCCAACCACCCAAAUCACCCAACAACCAAAACUUCUUGUACCCAAACCAUCAACACCCGAGCAUCUCCAAAACUUGCUUAGCCAAAACCUUUUUCUGCCAUCACAUCUUCACCCAACACCUUCAUCAAAGCUGAAAAUCCCUUUUAUAGCAGUCCUUAUCACCUAAAGCCUUCACCAUACACACCAAUUGGCCCACCCCAUCUUUCAUAGCCAAACCACCAUUCACAAACCCAAAAAUCUUUAUUUUUUAUUUUUUUUCAAUUUUUUUAAAGAGAACAAAAAAAAAAUCUUAGUGGUUACUAAUAAAAAAAAAAGGCCAAGCCAUCCAAAUAAAUAAAUAAAUAUAUAAAAUAUCUUUGGUUUGUUUCAGGAAAGGAAAGGCACGACUGGCUUGGCAGGGAGAGAAUAAAAGGUUACAAGAAUAGGUGCUAGAUAAGUCAAAGGAGAAAGAUAAACAAUGUGGAAUUUGAGAAUUGCUCGUAAAGGUCGCACAGGAAGCCAGUCACACUUGGUGGAUCCAAUUCAAGCUUGUUCCACUUGGAGUCCAGUCCAAACAAUAUGGGUUUGAGACCCAUAGAUUUGUUGGGUAUUUUUCUUGUCUUUUAGUUUGAUGUAUUAUGUGUGUGGG